rnacentral:rRNA from 1 species
GACCCCGGUCAGGCGGGGCCACCCGCUGAGUUUAAGCAUAUCAAUAA